GAUUAACGCUAGCGGCAGGCAUAAUACAUGCAAGUUGAACGGCAGCACAGGUAGCAAUACUGGGUGGCGAGUGGCGCACGGGUGCGUAACACGUAUGCAACCUACCCUAUACAGGCGAAUAACCUUUAGAAAUGAGGGCUAAUACGCCGUAGUAUUACAGAUGGGCAUCUAUUUGUAAUUAAAGAUUUAUCGGUAUAGGAUGGGCAUGCGUCCCAUUAGUUAGUUGGUAAGGUAACGGCUUACCAAGACGAUGAUGGGUAGGGGAUCUGAGAGGACUUACCCCCACACUGGUACUGAGACACGGACCAGACUCCUACGGGAGGCAGCAGUAAGGAAUAUUGGGCAAUGGCCGCGAGGCUGACCCAGCCAUGCCGCGUGCAGGAAGACGGCCUUAUGGGUUGUAAACUGCUUUUGUACGGGAAUAAUAGAGUGUACGCGUACAUUUAUGCAAGUAUCGUAUGAAUAAGCAUCGGCUAACUCCGUG
rnacentral:rRNA from 1 species